UACGUAGGGGGCAAGCGUUGUCCGGAAUUAUUGGGCGUAAAGAGCUCGUAGGCGGUUUGUCGCGUCUGCUGUGAAAUCCCGAGGCUCAACCUCGGGCCUGCAGUGGGUACGGGCAGACUAGAGUGUGGUAGGGGAGACUGGAAUUCCUGGUGUAGCGGUGAAAUGCGCAGAUAUCAGGAAGAACACCCGGGGCGAAGGCGGCCCUCUGGCUCGACCCUGACGCUGAGGCGCGAAAGCGUGGGGAGCGAACGGG
rnacentral:rRNA from 1 species